ACGGCUCAGUAACRCGUAGCUAACCUGCCCUCAAGCCAGCUAUAAGCUCGGGAAACUGAGUGUAAUAGCUGAUAGAAGAAGUUUUCUGGAAUGAUACCUCUUUGAAAGUUUGCUUGAGGAUGGGGCUGCGGCUGAUUAGGUUGUUGGCGGGGUAAUGGCCCACCAAGCCGAUGAUCAGUAAGGGCUCUUAGUGGAGAAGCCCUGAGAGGGAAUCUGAGACACUAUUCCCAGCCCUACGGGGUGCAGCAGUUAGGAAUUUUUUGCAAUGCGCGAAAGCGUGACAGAGCGAGCCAGAGUGCUUUCUCUUUUUGAGAAAGCUUUUGUGAGAUGUAAAAAGUCUCGCGAAUAAGGACUGGGCAAGAUUGGUGCCAGCCGCCGCGGUAAUACCAACAGUCCAAGUCGCAGCCACUUUUAUUGGGUCUAAAACAUCCGUAGCUAGUCUUGUAAGUCUCUUGUGAAAUCUGGCAUCUCAAGUGUCGGGCGUGCGAGAGAUACUGCGAGACUUGGGACCGGGAGACGUAAGGAGUACAGUAGGAGUAGCGGUUAAAUGCGUUGAUCCUUACUGGACUAACAACAGCGAAGGCACCUUACGAGAACGGAUCUGACAGUGAGGGAUGAAGGCUAGGGGCGCAAAUUGGAUUAGAUACCCAAGUAGUCCUAGCAGUAAACCCUGCACACUAAACAUUGGGGCCUCCUCGAGAGGCUUCAGUGCUGUAGCGAAGGCGAAGAGUGUGCUACCUGGGGAAGUAUAGUCGCAAGGCCGAAACUUAAAGGAAUUGGCGGGGGAGCAC
rnacentral:rRNA from 1 species